rnacentral:rRNA from 1 species
UACGUAGGGUGCGAGCGUUAAUCGGAAUUACUGGGCGUAAAGCGUGCGCAGGCGGUUAUUUAAGUCAGGUGUGAAAGCCCUGGGCUUAACCUAGGAAUUGCGCUUGAGACUGGAUAGCUUGGAGUGCGGCAGAGGGAGGUGGAAUUCCACGUGUAGCAGUGAAAUGCGUAGAGAUGCGGAGGAACACCGAUGGCGAAGGCAGCCCCCUGGGCUGACACUGACGCUCAGGCACGAAAGCGUGGGGGAGCAAACAGG